ensembl:lincRNA
AUGGACUGCAUAGUCCAUGGGGUUACAAAGAGUUGGAUACAACUGAGCGACUUUCACUUCACUUCACUUCCUUUUAAGCAGAUUUGCAAUUUUAUAUACUACUACUGGCCCCCAUCAGAUCCAUCUGGUUUGCCAUCAACGUACAGCACAUCCCAGUCACAACACAGGGCAUCAAUGUCCUCACAGGGGCCUUCACUGGGCUCCAGAAAGUCCCACAGUGGGUAUGUUUACAUGUGUUCCUCUGCCCCACGCAUACAGCAUGAUACCUACACUUACUGGCACAAACUAAAGAGACGCCUGAUGAGCCAAGUGCUGGAGCAAAAGGAGGAGAGCAAGACCACUGAUUCCCUCGGGGAUGUCGAGCUAAGCACCUGUGAAAUAAGAGUACCUGCGUCACCACACCAAGGUCUCUGUACAUCCUUAACACUUCAUAGUGCUACAGACCACAAGGCAGACCCCCAGCAGUUCACUCACUUCCAAAGAGAAUAAAGGAAUGAAAAACAAGAGUGUUCGUAAGGACAUCUUUCAGGAUCCAGUGUUCAAAGGUGGUGAUCAAUCUGAGGUACGUAAGGAGGGGAGAGGGAACUCACAUGCUAAUCCUGAGUGAAGAAGUGAAGUGAAAGUCACAUCCAACUCUUUGCGACCCCAUGGCCUAUACAGUCCAUGGAAUUCUCCAGGCCAGAAUACUGGAGUGGGUAGCCUUUCCCUUCUCCAGGGGAUCUUCCCAACCCAGGGAAUCAAACUGGGUCUCCUGCACUGCAUGCAGACUCUUUACCAGCUGAGCCACAAGGGAAGCCCAAGCCCUGGAGAUAGAGGCAGGAGGACCAAGGAGGCCCUCCUAAAAGGAGAGGAAACCAACUCCACUGACAGUAGUGAGGUCUACAAUACAAGCAUAACUCCAGCUAAAUCCACUCACUUAACGAGCCCAUGCUCCUUGAAGAAAAGCUAAGACAAACCUAGACAGCAUAUUAAAAAGCAGAGACAUCACUUUGCCGACAAAGGUCCAUAUAGUCAAAGCUAUGGUUUUUCCAGUAGCCAUGCACAGAUGUGAGAGUUGAACCAUAAAGAAGGCCGAGCACCAAAGAAUUGAUGCUUCUGAACUGUGGUGUUGGAGAAGACUCUUGAGAGUCCCUUGGACUGCAAGGAGAUCAAAUCAGUCAAUUCUAAAGGAAAUCAAUCCUGAAUAUUCAAUGGAGGGACUGAUGCUGAAGCUGAAGUUCCAAUACUUUGGCCAUCUGAUGAGAACAGCCAACUUACUGGAAAAGACUCUGAUGCUGGGAAAGAUUGAAGGCAGGAAGAGAAGGGGAUGACAAAGGAUGAGAUGGUUGGAUGGCAUCACCAGCUCAAUGUACACAAGCUUGAGCAAACUCAAGAAGAUAGUGAAGGACAGGGAAGCCUGGCAUGCUGCAGUCCACGGGAUCACAGAAUUCGACUUAGCGACUGAACUACAAUGAGUGUGCAGCUUCAGGAGAGAUUCAUCUGACACCUCUCUUUUUCCUUACCAGGUACACCUUUCCAUAGGCACAACCAGUCAGAAUGCUAAGAGCCUCGUAAGCAGCUGAGCACAGAGAAAUGAAAGCCACCUUCUCAGCGAUAGAAAUGACCAAGGUCAUAUUAAGUUCUCUGAGUACUGGUGAAUUGCUACUUUAUGACAGUGAUUAUCUUUUAUGCUAUUUGCAUUUCCAUUAUUUCUUUUAUUUUCCCUUUUUCGUUAGUUUCAAUUACAUUAACAGUGAUGAUUACAUCUAUUUAAAUGCAUGUAUGUGUGUAUGCAUACAUGUACACACAUGCACACAUACACACAUGCUAGCUAGAGAAGUAACUCUCCCCUUCUGUAUCAUUUGGAUCAGUUUAACCUUUAAUUGAACACCAGUUACUUGCACCACACAAUGAUGGUAAUGCACCAGAUUCAGCAAUGAGUGAAAGGUAAAGUCCCAGUACACAAGUACACAUAAACAAAAAGGUAUUGUCAGCAGAUCUCAAGUGCUUUGGCAAUUCAAUGGAGUGUAUCAUAUCCACUGCCUAGUGAAACAAUGAAGUAAGCUUUCAUUCUGAUAUCAAGGGCAAGUGAUGAACACUCUUGGGAAAAAGAAGAUAAUAGAAAGCCAGUAUCCUUUUAAUGUUUAGUAUGAGUAAGAGCACACACAAAUUCUCUCCUAAUCCCACUGAGGUUAGUAAUAAUAGUAGUAAUAAGCAUUUUUACCAGCUUUCUACCUAAACUCUGGCCAAGAUAAACUGUCAUCAGGAUUUAAGGACCUGCUAACCUAUCAGACUGCACCACCCCAAAUGAUCAACCGAUCAG